GUCCAAGUGGCGGCUGCUUACACAUGCAGUCGAACGAUGAUGCCCAGCUUGCUGGGCGGAUUAGUGGCGAACGGGUGAGUAAUACGUGAGUAACCUGCCCUUGACUCUGGGAUAAGCCUGGGAAACUGGGUCUAAUACUGGAUACUACCUCUUACCGCAUGGUGGGUGGUGGAAAGGGUUUUACUGGUUUUGGAUGGGCUCACGGCCUAUCAGCUUGUUGGUGGGGUAAUGGCUCACCAAGGCGACGACGGGUAGCCGGCCUGAGAGGGUGACCGGCCACACUGGGACUGAGACACGGCCCAGACUCCUACGGGAGGCAGCAGUGGGGAAUAUUGCACAAUGGGCGGAAGCCUGAUGCAGCGACGCCGCGUGAGGGAUGACGGCCUUCGGGUUGUAAACCUCUUUCAGUAGGGAAGAAGCGAGAGUGACGGUACCUGCAGAAGAAGCGCCGGCUAACUACGUGCCAGCAGCCGCGGUAAUACGUAGGGCGCAAGCGUUGUCCGGAAUUAUUGGGCGUAAAGAGCUCGUAGGCGGUUUGUCGCGUCUGCUGUGAAAGCCCGGGGCUCAACCCCGGGUCUGCAGUGGGUACGGGCAGACUAGAGUGCAGUAGGGGAGACUGGAAUUCCUGGUGUAGCGGUGAAAUGCGCAGAUAUCAGGAGGAACACCGAUGGCGAAGGCAGGUCUCUGGGCUGUUACUGACGCUGAGGAGCGAAAGCAUGGGGAGCGAACAGGAUUAGAUACCCUGGUAGUCCAUGCCGUAAACGUUGGGCACUAGGUGUGGGGGACAUUCCACGUUUUCCGCGCCGUAGCUAACGCAUUAAGUGCCCCGCCUGGGGAGUACGGCCGCAAGGCUAAAACUCAAAGGAAUUGACGGGGGCCCGCACAAGCGGCGGAGCAUGCGGAUUAAUUCGAUGCAACGCGAAGAACCUUACCAAGGCUUGACAUUCACCGGACCGCCCCAGAGAUGGGGUUUCCCUUCGGGGCUGGUGGACAGGUGGUGCAUGGUUGUCGUCAGCUCGUGUCGUGAGAUGUUGGGUUAAGUCCCGCAACGAGCGCAACCCUCGUUCUAUGUUGCCAGCACGUGAUGGUGGGGACUCAUAGGAGACUGCCGGGGUCAACUCGGAGGAAGGUGGGGAUGACGUCAAAUCAUCAUGCCCCUUAUGUCUUGGGCUUCACGCAUGCUACAAUGGCCGGUACAAAGGGUUGCGAUACUGUGAGGUGGAGCUAAUCCCAAAAAGCCGGUCUCAGUUCGGAUUGAGGUCUGCAACUCGACCUCAUGAAGUCGGAGUCGCUAGUAAUCGCAGAUCAGCAACGCUGCGGUGAAUACGUUCCCGGGCCUUGUACACACCGCCCGUCAAGUCACGAAAGUUGGUAACACCCGAAGCCGGUGGCCUAACCCCUUGUGGGAGGAGCCGUCGAAGGUGAAUCUGAAGUU
rnacentral:rRNA from 1 species